CCAGCCGUCUCACGCGCAGGCAACGCGUGUCGUUUGGCCCUCCAUCGCUCUUCCCUCCGACCUUAUCCUCUCAUCCUCUCGUCUCUUCCCCACACCUUUCUUCUCCCCAUCCCCGAUUCCCUUCUCUUCUCAGAGCCCGAUCCAUCGUGCACGGCGGCCCCUACCGGAGCUCCAGCGCGCCUCUCCUCCUCCCUCAUUUCUCUCUCCCCUGCCUCUCUCAGUUAUUUCUCUUUUCCCUUGUCCAUGAGCAGGGCACACAAGGAGCCUCGCCGCUGCUGCCACCACCACCACCGACGUCUUCGCGCCACCACCGCCUGCGAGUUCGCCAGCCGCCGCUCAGAUCUUCGGGAUCCAUGUCCUCAAGCCGCCGGUGUCCGUCCUCCGCCCCGGAUCUGGCUUUUCCACGCCCUUCGGCCUCCCCUGCGACCGGGGCCGCCACCCUCCCCACUGCCUCGUCUACAUGCGUGAGGACAACGAUGACAGCGCCACCGUCGACCGUCUGGGCAGUCCCUCGGCCUCGCUCGCGUGGGCAAGCCAGUCGUCGCCGGCGGGAGCGACGGGUGUUAUAAGGGAAGGUGAACUACGCUAGGGAUGGCUGGAGGUGGAGGACGUUGGGAGGUGGAGGGCGUCGCAGCGAUGGGAUUGGGGAGGCGGCGCGCGGCCGCGGGGGUGGAGCGCUGGAGUUGGAGAUAGGAUUAGGAGGCAGGGUCGAGCGGUUGUUUUUUAUCUGACCUGUACCGGUUCGAUUGACUUAUUUUUGGACUGCGGGUUGAUUUCCUAUAAACCGAGGGGCUUUUGUGCAAAAUAACCACGCCGGACGACCAGAAACCCACGGCGCUUUAUUAUUAGGUAGAGAUAUAUAUAUAGGUAAAGAUCUGUCGAAACAAGUUAAAAAACCUCCUUUGACUAACAGAUUACUAAAUAUAGCAAUGUUUGGAUUUUGUUA